UGGUGGAGUGAUUUGUCUGGUUAAUUCCGAUAACGAACGAGACCUCAGCCUACUAAAUAGCAGUCUCCAACAUCUUGUUGGCAGCUACUGUCUUCUUAGAGGGACUUUGGGUGAUUAGCCCAAGGAAGUUUGAGGCAAUAACA
rnacentral:rRNA from 1 species